rnacentral:rRNA from 1 species
GUUGAACGCUGGCGGAAUGCUUUACACAUGCAAGUCGAACGGCAGCACUGACUUGGGUCUGGUGGAGAGUGGCGAACGUGUGAGUAAUGUAUCGGAACGUGCCAAGUCGUGGGGGAUAACGUAGUGAAAAUUGAGCUAAUACCGACAACGAUCUUGGGAUGAAAGCGGGGGACCGCAAGACCUGGCGCCGUUGGAGCGGCCGAUAUCAGAUUAGGUAGUUGGUGGGGUAAAGGCACACCAAGGCAACGAUCUGUAGCUGGUAUGAGAGGAAGACACGCCACACUGGAACUGAGACACGGUCCAGACUCCUACGGGAGGCAGCAGUGGGGAAUGUUGGACAAUGGGAGAAAGCCUGAUCCAGCCAUUCCGCGUGAAGGAUGAAGGCCCUCGGGUUGUAAACUGAUUUUGUACAGAACGAAAAGGUUUCCACUAAUCCUAGGAGCUCAUGACGGUACUGUAAGAAUAAGCACCGGCUAACUACGUGCCAGCCGCCGCAGUAA